GGUGCAGGCGGACUUUUUCCUCCGCUGUCUGGAUAGAGCUUGUUAAACUCCCGUGAUACCGGUUUGAAGCUGCUGGGCUUGUUGUCACGCUACUAAUUCCAUCAUGAUGGCGCAUACUUCAAAAUGACGCAGAACUCCUCAUGAGAAGAGCGCAGUAAGGAUGACUGUGCCGUGCAACCGAAGCGCCGCGGGUUUGGUCCAACCGAAGGUGAGCAACCUCGCCCACUGGAAGCGGGUCUAGAGCGCUGCGCCGUGGCACGCAGCCCUGAUCAGCAGGAAGAGAUCACGGGAGAACUGCUCAAACAAACAAACAAAGCCAAACAAGACAGCCGCCUCAUGUGCCUGCUGUGGGUUUCUAGAUCUCCCUGUCAGAUCAUCUGCUCAGUCCCAGAAGUCCCCUGGAGCAUCCAUCACUGAGGCCUGUCAGUUAUGAGGUUGUGGCUCUCGGUUGACUACUGCUCCCCCUGUAUGUGGGUCACAGACACCGUUCCCAGCUGUGCAGCCCAGUCAGCUGUGCCUUUUGCCAUGCCCGCCAACAUCUGCUCCACAAAAACAAUAUCCAGCUUUUAGCACUCAAAUGGAGGUUGCACCAUAUGCCAGCAAGCCACUUAGUUUCUGCCAGGGGAGCUGGGGCCUGGCCGCACUCAGCGAGCUCCUCACUCAGGCCAUCAGUGUGUGCCCAUGUGCAUCUGCUCAAGGUGCUUUGGCAGCGUCACCUUUUGAAUAUUAAUGCACCACCUAAACAACAAGAGAACUGGACGACUGAUUGCUGGGGAAAAAUGGCCAUUUAAGACCAAUUAAGAGUGCAGGUCUGGAUACUAUGGGAUACUGAAGUGCUGCUCACUAUGCUGAGAGUUCCUGCUUUUCCUUGAAGUCCAGACGAAUCCUUCAAGACUCCAACCAUGACUUCAUUUUAACGAGCAGAAGUGGCAGUUAACACAAGGCUUCAUCUUUGCAGACAUUGGGAGCUGUCAUUGCGCGACACCCUGUGACGUGGGUGACACUCAGCCGAUAUGACAGGUGCUGGACAGCAGAGACACUCCUAGACAAGCUGGCUAUAUUUCUUCAGGAUUGCCCAGUUUGGGGGUUAAGACCAACAUAGAAAAAGUGGGAAAAAUGAGAACCUCUGAUGCCACCAGAUCAGUUUCCUCUGCCAGUACUCAUCUCCAUCACUGCCACAUCAGCUGGUCCCAAGGUUGUGAGGUCAUCCGAACAUCUGGCCCCUCCGCCAUGUUUUCUAAGUCAUUUUUACAGGGCUCCUCACUCACAAGAAUUACAAGUCUGUGUGAAUAUUUGAUGGCAGGAGAAACUGUUCCUGUCUUUUCUGAGAGAAUGACACAG